UAUUUAGGAAGGCACUAUUCAU
rnacentral:miRNA from 1 species